ensembl:misc_RNA Metazoa_SRP Metazoan signal recognition particle RNA
GCUGGCGCAGUGCCACGUGCCUGUAGUCCCAGCUACUCGGGAGGCUGAGGCGGGAGGACUGCUUGAGCCCAGGAGUUCUGGGCUGUAGUGCACUAUGCUGAUCAGGUGUCUGCACUAAGUUCAGCAUCAAUAUGGCGACCUUCUGGGAGUGGGCGACCACCAGGUUGCCUCGGGAGGGGUGAACCGGCCCAGGUUGGAAACUCCCAUUCUGAUCAGUGGUAGGAUCGUGCCUGUGAAUAGCCACUGCACUCCAGCCUAGGCAACAUAGCGAGACCCGUUCCCC